GGUUAAAAUAAAAUAAGGAAACGGAAAUGAAAUUCAAAGAAUUAAAUUGUUCUACAUGGAAAUUGUGACUGUGAUAGUCAUAUAAUAAUGAGUAACCUCAAUUGAAAAAUUAUCAAUAGUUUGCUUAAUGAUUGUGAUUUCUAACCUUAGUACAUAUAUGUACAAUGAAUCAUAUUGUAUCUAAGCAUACAUAGUUUUGCUUUUUUUUUCAAGAGGUCGCUACGUUUUUACUUUGUGUAAAUAAGUACAUAUGCAUAUAUCUCUGGUAUAUACUACAUGUCUUCUAUCAUCAAUAGACCUUGGCCUUACACACAGAUGAAGUAUAGAAUAGACUUGGCGGUAUGAUACAAAGUAUAAUAAGGUAAAAAUAUCGAUAACAAUUUCUAAUAAAGACAGAUAUAAUUUCUAUUUAAAAAAAGAACAGUGUGUUUAUAUAAUUAAUAUAUUUAUUAGCAGAUGUUUACAAAAUUCUCACAAAUGUACGUACAUAUUUGCUAUGUUAUAUCGAUUUUGUUGAUUAGUCUGUUAACAACUUUUUGUGCGUAUUUAUUAUUUGUUCCUUUUAAAACUUCAUAUACCCGUUCAUGAGAGUGCAUAACCUCAAGUGUAAGAAAAAUUCGUGUCAGGUGGAUGUAUAAUAUAGUAUGUAGAUAUAUAAAAAGAAAAAAGAAAAAAGC